UUUUUUUUUUUUUUUGCUUUUUAGGGCCGCACCCAAGGCAUAUAGAUUCCCAGGCUAGAGGUCAGAUUGGAGCUACAGCUGCCAGCCACAGCCACAACCACAGCAACACAGGAUCUGAGCUGAGUCUGCGACCUACACCACAGCUCAUGGCAAAGCCAGAUCCUUAACCCACUGAGUGAGGCCAGGGAUUGUGAGAACCGGCAACCUCAUGGUUCCUAGUCGGAUUCAUUUCUGUUCUGCCGCGACGGGAAGUCCUGGAAAAUUAUUUUAAAUGAGACAGAGGAAAAAUACUAAUUUUACUGAAAAUAAAUUUGAUGAAGUGGUACUGAGAUUCAGCAAUAAAUAUUUAUAUAAACGAGUCCAUCAUUAUUUAUACAAAUCAGUCCAUCAUUAUUACUUAUACUAUUAUAUAAAUUGGUAAUAAUAUCACAUUCUAGAAAAAAUUAUGAUUAUAUAAAUGUGUUUUUACUCUAUAUCAUUUUGGAAAAUGCAAACUUUUCUAUAUGAUCAGGUAAACUCUUUGUACUUCAUGAAGAUGCAAUAAAAAUUUUUCAUCAAUUUCUAAGUGUGAGAGCUUUGUUAGAAUGGAUAUAUUAUUAAUGCCUAAGAUACGUUGCGACCUAGAAUUGGUUUAGAAGAAAAUGUGUAUUGAUUGGGGCAAACUAUUUUAACAGUACAACCAAGGCUUAACACAGGAAAAAUACUUGCAGAACAUAUAUUUCACAAAGGACUUGUAUUCAGAACUCAUAUAACUCCACAAUAAGAAGACAGAAAUUCCUGUUUAAAAAUGAGCAAAAGGGAGUUCUUGCUGUGGCACAGUGGGUUAAGAAUCAGGCUCAGGUCGCUGCGGAUGCAUGGGUUCCAUCCUGAGCCCAGUGAAGUGUGUUAAAUGAUGCCGUAACUGCAACAUAGGUUGCAGCUGAGGCCUGGGUUUAACUCCUGGCUCAGGAACUUCCAUAUGCCACAGGUGCAGCCACAGAAUUGAAAAACAGCAACAACAACAAAACAGGCCAAAGAUUUGCACAGAUAUUUCACCAAGGAACCUACAGGAUGACAAAAGGUGUUCAAUAUUGUUAGCAUAAGAGAAAGACAAUUUAAGCUACAGUGAUACACCACUACAUAUGUAUCAGCAUAGUGAAAGUCAAAAAUCAAAAAAGGAUGAUCAUACUAAGUGUUGGUGUGUAUAUGGCAGAGCAGGAACUUUCAUGUGCUGCUGGUGUAAAACAGUUUGGUAGUUACUUAAAAAGCUAA
ensembl:lncRNA